rnacentral:rRNA from 1 species
UACGUAGGGUGCGAGCGUUAAUCGGAAUUACUGGGCGUAAAGGGUGCGCAGGCGGUUAGUUAAGUCAGAUGUGAAAUCCCCGGGCUCAACCUGGGAAUGGCAUUUGAGACUGGCUAGCUAGAGUGUGCCAGAGGGGGGUGGAAUUCCACGUGUAGCAGUGAAAUGCGUAGAUAUGUGGAGGAACACCGAUGGCGAAGGCAGCCCCCUGGGGUAACACUGACGCUCAGGCACGAAAGCGUGGGGAGCAAACAGG